GACGAACGCUGGCGGCGUGCUUAACACAUGCAAGUCGAACGGAAAGGCCCUGCUUUUGUGGGGUGCUCGAGUGGCGAACGGGUGAGUAACACGUGAGUAACCUGCCCUUGACUUUGGGAUAACUUCAGGAAACUGGGGCUAAUACCGGAUAGGAGCUCCUGCUGCAUGGUGGGGGUUGGAAAGUUUCGGCGGUUGGGGAUGGACUCGCGGCUUAUCAGCUUGUUGGUGGGGUAGUGGCUUACCAAGGCUUUGACGGGUAGCCGGCCUGAGAGGGUGACCGGCCACAUUGGGACAGAGACACGGCCCAGACUCCUACGGGAGGCAGCAGUGGGGAAUAUUGCACAAUGGGCGGACGCGUGAUGCAGCAACGCCGCGUGCGGGAUGACGGCCUUCGGGUUGUAACCCGCUUUCGCCUGACGAAGCGUGAGUGACGGUAAUGGGUAAAGAAGCACCGGCUAACUACGUG
rnacentral:rRNA from 1 species